rnacentral:rRNA from 1 species
UAGAGUUUGAUCCUGGCUCAGAGCGAACGCUGGCGGCAGGCCUAACACAUGCAAGUCGAACGGACUCUUCGGAGUUAGUGGCGGACGGGUGAGUAACACGUGGGAACGUGCCUUUAGGUUCGGAAUAAGCCCGGGAAACUGGGUCUAAUACCGAAUGUGCCCUUCGGGGGAAAGAUUUAUCGCCUUUAGAGCGGCCCGCGUCUGAUUAGCUAGUUGGUGGUGUAAUGGACCACCAAGGCGACGAUCAGUAGCUGGUCUGAGAGGAUGACCAGCCACAUUGGGACUGAGACACGGCCCAAACUCCUACGGGAGGCAGCAGUGGGGAAUCUUGCGCAAUGGGCGAAAGCCUGACGCAGCCAUGCCGCGUGGAUGAUGAAGGUCUUAGGAUUGUAAAAUCCUUUCACCGGUGAAGAUAAUGACUGUAGCCGGAGAAGAAGCCCCGGCUAACUUCGUGCCAGCAGCCGCGGUAAUACGAAGGGGGCUAGCGUUGCUCGGAAUUACUGGGCGUAAAGGGAGCGUAGGCGGACAUUUAAGUCAGGGGUGAAAUCCCAGAGCUCAACUCUGGAACUGCCUUUGAUACUGGGUGUCUUGAGUGUGAGAGAGGUAUGUGGAACUCCGAGUGUAGAGGUGAAAUUCGUAGAUAUUCGGAAGAACACCAGUGGCGAAGGCGACAUACUGGCUCAUUACUGACGCUGAGGCUCGAAAGCGUGGGGAGCAAACAGGAUUAGAUACCCUGGUAGUCCACGCCGUAACGAUGAUUGCUAGUUGUCGGGAAGCUUGCUUCUCGGUGACGCAGCUAACGCAUUAAGCAAUCCGCCUGGGGAGUACGGUCGCAAGAUUAAAACUCAAAGGGAAUUGACGGGGGCCCGCACAAGCGGUG